GAUGAACGCUAGCGGCAGGCUUAACACAUGCAAGUCGAGGGGUAGAGGCUUUCGGGCCUUGAGACCGGCGCACGGGUGCGUAACGCGUAUGCAAUCUACCUUGUACAGAGGGAUAGCCCAGAGAAAUUUGGAUUAAUACCUUAUAGUAUACUGAUGUGGCAUCACAUUGAUAUUAAAGAUUUAUCGGUACAAGAUGAGCAUGCGUCCCAUUAGCUAGUUGGUGUGGUAACGGCACACCAAGGCGAUGAUGGGUAGGGGUCCUGAGAGGGAGAUCCCCCACACUGGUACUGAGACACGGACCAGACUCCUACGGGAAGCAGCAGUGAGGAAUAUUGGUCAAUGGGCGCAAGCCUGAACCAGCCAUGCCGCGUGCAGGAUGAAGCAUCUAUGGUGUGUAAACUGCUUUUGUACGGGAAGAAACACCGCUUCGUGAAGCGGCUUGACGGUACCGUAAGAAUAAGGAUCGGCUAACUCCGUGCCAGCCGCCGCCGUAA
rnacentral:rRNA from 1 species